CUCAACUACCCAAGCUUCCGACAUUGGACGAUGAGACUUAUUUUGAUUCAAAUCCUAUUCAAGAAAGUGCAGCAGAUACAAUCCUUACAGCCUCAAAGUUCGUUUUGGGGCUCUCUGCAUAUAUCGAUGGUGUGUUACUAAAACAAUGCUCGGGAAUUUUGAUGGAGUGGAGUGAGGGCACUGGAACCAUUUUAACGACUGCGGAUCUAAUUUGCUCAAGGCAUCAACAUGUGGAUGAGUGGUUAGGCGGAGAAGAAUAUGCUCCAAAUGCUGAGGUAAUGUUCAGAGGGACUUAUUGGGCAAGAGCAUGGGCGAUGCUAUCUAAGGAGGAAGAGAAAAUUGAUUUGAAGAAGAACUGUAGCAGACUUGAAAUUACUGCUUUGGAUUUCUUCCAUAAAUAUGGAUGGAACUUUAGGAGAAGAUUGAUGUCUUAGGCUGUCUGGCGUCAGGGCAGAUCUUGAAAGGUUUAUGUGCUGAUGGCGUGGGUCUUUCUUCAGUUUACCUGGAAGCUGUCUCUAGAUCUGGGACCUUGGUCUGUUUUAGUUCGAUCCUAAGAAGUAUCACAGAUCUUGUUU